rnacentral:rRNA from 1 species
GACGUAGGGCGCGAGCGUUGUCCGGAUUUAUUGGGCGUAAAGAGCUCGUAGGCGGCUUGUCGCGUCGACUGUGAAAACCCACGGCUCAACUGUGGGCUUGCAGUCGAUACGGGCAGGCUAGAGUUCGGUAGGGGCUACUGGAAUUCUCGGUGUAGCGGUGAAAUGCGUAGAGAUCAUGAGGAAGACCAGUGGCGAAGGCGGGUCUCUGGACAGUUCCUGACACUGAGACACGAAGGCCAGGGGAGCAAACGGG